UACGGGGGGGGCAAGCGUUGUUCGGAAUUACUGGGCGUAAAGGGCGCGUAGGCGGCCUGCUAAGUCACACGUGAAAUCCCCCGGCUCAACCGGGGAACUGCGUGUGAUACUGGCGGGCUUGAAUUCGGGAGAGGGAUGUGGAAUUCCAGGUGUAGCGGUGAAAUGCGUAGAUAUUAGGAAGAACACCAGUGGCGAAGGCGGCUCACUGGCUCGGUACUGACGCUGAGGCGCGAAAGCGUGGGGAGCAAACAGG
rnacentral:rRNA from 1 species